UAAACGGAUGCGAUGACGAUUGGCUGGU
rnacentral:sRNA from 1 species